GACGAACGCUGGCGGCGUGCUUAACACAUGCAAGUCGAACGGAAAGGCCCUGCUUUUGUGGGGUGCUCGAGUGGCGAACGGGUGAGUAACACGUGAGUAACCUGCCCUUGACUUUGGGAUAACUUCAGGAAACUGGGGCUAAUACCGGGUAGGAGCUCCUGCUGCAUGGUGGGGGUUGGAAAGUUUCGGCGGUUGGGGAUGGACUCGCGGCUUAUCAGCUUGUUGGUGGGGUAGUGGCUUACCAAGGCUUUGACGGGUAGCCGGCCUGAGAGGGUGACCGGCCACAUUGGGACUGAGAUACGGCCCAGACUCCUACGGGAGGCAGCAGUGGGGAAUAUUGCACAAUGGGCGGAAGCCUGAUGCAGCAACGCCGCGUGCGGGAUGACGGCCUUCGGGUUGUAAACCGCUUUCGCCUGUGACGAAGCGUGAGUGACGGGAAUGGGUAAAGAAGCACCGGCGAACUACGU
rnacentral:rRNA from 1 species